CCUGUCCCGGCCCGGCCCGGCCCGGCCCGGCCCCGCCCGGGCUGCUGCUGCUGCUGCCGCGGCCGCUGCCCGCCGCCGCUCGGCUUUCCGCGGCCGUGCUGGCACCGGGGCGCUCGCGGCCCCGGCUCGGCCCUCGCGGGGCCCGCUCGGAGCAGCCUCCGGGCCCGGCUCACGGCCGAGCCCCUGCGCUGACACCGCUCCCGAACGGCUCCGGCCGCGGAAUCCUCCGCACCUUCUUCCACGAGUGUUGUCUUUAGAAGCGGUGACGUUUUCCAAGGUAGCCUUGACUGGCUCUGAAUCAGGUUUUGGGGGUACUUUUCCUUUUGCUAUGUCACGACUAAUAAGGACAGAUUGGAACACGACCUGGCACAUCCAGGAAGCAUCACGAGUAUGUGGUUGUCAUUUAGGAGAGUGUCUCUGGAUUGUAACUGAAGGCUCCCUGUCUGUUUCAGGAACACAGGUUAUGCACAUUUACCUGCAGAGACAUUUAACCUUGAUUUUGAAGGACUGCUGUUGCAGUUCUGGAAAACUGUCCUGAGCAAAACAAUAAAAACAUUUCUGAAACAUCCA